rnacentral:lncRNA from 1 species
CUCCAGUAAUAAUCUUGCGUGCCCUCAGCUUCGGCUGCCAAGGCGAUUAUCUGAGGCAUUUAAGGAAUGCACUGCUUUUCUCCCACUCCCUUUCUGCUGGCAGCUAAAAAGAUCAAAGAAGUAUCUUUUUAGUUGACAUUCCAUUUUCAUUGGCAGAGACAUUGCGAGCUGGUCCUUCACUGUGUCCAGGGCGGGCCAGAUCUAAGCACCCCACGAGCCUUGAGUUUGACACUCCCACCCUAUCGUAUCGUGGUUUCCCUUCCUUCCAGGGCUCCAGUAACCUGUAAUUGAAACUCAGCAGAGGGUGUAUUUUGGGGGUUGGAUGGGGCAGGGCUGCAGUGGGGCCCAAAGCGCCGCGGAUGGACCCGGCUCUCAUGUCUUCUCCGUGGUCCGGCUUUCCAGUUGCAGGUGGGUGUGGAAUUCGAAGCCAGCAGCCGCAUGCAAGACACCAGCGCAACCUUUGGAUACCAGCUGGAUCUCCCCAAAGCCAACCUCCUUUUCAGAGGCUCCAUCGACAGCAACUGGAUCGUGGGGGCGGUCUUGGAAAAGAAGCUGAUUCCGUUGCCCCUCACGCUAGCGAUGGGCGCCUUCCUGAAUCACCGCAAGAACAAAUUCCAGUGCGGCUUUGGCCUGACCAUUGGUUAAACUGCCCUUCUCCUUCUCCCUCCUUCCUCCUCUUCCUCCUCCUCUUCUUCAGUGCAGUGCGUGGCCCCGUUGUCCUCCCGCCCUGCACCCUUGUCUGGCCAGAGGUAGCUGUUGGUGUGUGUGUGGGGGGGGGGGGGGGGAGGGGGGGGGGAGGGGGGGGGGGGGUGGAGAGCAGGAAGGAUGCCUUCCGCCUCCCACCCAUAAGGAGGGGUUGGCGGUUCUCGGAGGAGCUGGAGGAUGGGAGGGGGGAGGAUUUGGCCCAAUAUACGGUUCACAAGGUCCUCCGGGCAACGCUUUGCCGCCUCCUGCCACCAGGGGGUGCUCUAGCAUCGGGAAUGGGGAAAGGCCUCCUUUCCCAAGGAUGCCAGGGGGCUGUGGGGAGCUUAGCCCCCUCCCCCCCCCCCCCAUCAACCUCCCCCCCCCCCCAUAUUUCCCAUUUCCUCCCGUUUUAUUUCCCCCUCCAUCCAUCCAAGGAAGGAGAGAGAGCCAAACUUUUGACGGUUUUCCAAAGAGAAAAAUCCAUAGGACCUGCAUUUUGGGUUUUUUUAAACUUCCGUUCCCACUCUAUCGAACUUUCCCUUGUUUUUGUUUAUGGGGGAAUGUGGGGUUUUUUUGGGGGGGGUGGGUGGGGGGUUCUCGCUUCCCUCAUGGGUUUGCCAAAAGAUUAGCGGCAAUCGUGGUUCUGUCGGGCCUGUUUUGGGGGGCGCCCGGUUGCACCCUCCUUCCCUCUCUUCCUGCUGGGUUUGCCAAAAGGUAAAAUGGCAGUUGUGGUUUUAUCAGGCCUGUUUUGGGG